rnacentral:tRNA from 1 species
ACCUUUUUAGUAUACCCAGUACAAUUGCUUUCCAAGCAGUAAGGCUAUUUCAAGAUGUAGAAAAGGUA